UCCGGUUUGUCACCGGCAGUCUCAUUAGAGUGCCCUUUCGUAGCAACUAAUGACAAGGGUUGCGCUCGUUGCGGGACUUAACCCAACAUCUCACGACACGAGCUGACGACAGCCAUGCAGCACCUGUGUAAAGGUUCCCUUUCGGGCACUCCCUGAUCUCUCAAGGAUUCCUUCCAUGUCAAGGGUAGGUAAGGUUUUUCGCGUUGCAUCGAAUUAAUCCACAUCAUCCACCGCUUGUGCGGGUCCCCGUCAAUUCCUUUGAGUUUUAAUCUUGCGACCGUACUCCCCAGGCGGAAUGCUUAAUGCGUUAGCUACGGCACAGGCGGGAUUAAUACCGCCCACACCUAGUGCCCAUCGUUUAGGGCGUGGACUAC
rnacentral:misc_RNA from 1 species